CGUGACGACAACGCGCCGCGCUUCACGCAGGCGGCGUACAGCAUGUCGGUGAGCGAGAACGACGCGGGCGCGGUGCGGCUGGGCAGCGUGAAGGCGACGGACUCGGACGCGGGCGCGAACGGGGCGCGUGAGGUACGCGCUGGUGCGGGAGGAGGGCUCGGAGGCGGCCGCCGUGUCGGUGGACGCCGAGAGCGGGGCCGUGUCGGUGGUGCGUCCGCUGGACUACGAGCAGGUGCGCGCCGUGGAGGUGACGGUGGUCGCGGCCGACGGGGGGCUCUCCGUCGCGGAGCGCCACGGCGCUGCUGCGGGUGCUGGUGCGGGACGAGAACGACAACGCGCCCGUGGUGCUGCACCCGCCGUCCGACGGCGGCGCGGCGCUGGGCGAGCUGGUGCCGCGGCGGGCGCCGCGGGCUACCUGGUGGCCAAGGUGGUGGCGGUGGACGCGGACGCGGGGCAGAACGCGUGGCUGUCCUACGAGCUGGCCAAGGCGACGGAGCCGGGGCUGUUCCGCGUGGGGCUGCACAGCGGCGAGGUGCGCACGGCGCGCGCCGUGGGCGAGCGCGACGCGGCCCGGCACCGGCUGGUGGUGCUGGUGCGGGACCCGCGGGCGGCCGCCGCGCUCCGCCAGCGCCACCCCUGGCCGUGGCCCCUGGCCGACGGCUUCUCCGAAGAGCACCUAAGGGCCGGCCAAGAGGCGCCGGCCGCCGAGCCCGACGCCCGCCUCACCCUCUACCUCAGCGUCUGCUUGGCCUGCGUGUCCGCGCUCUUCGUGGCCAGCGCCACGGCCGCCGUGGCCGCCAAGCUGAGGCGGGCCCGAAGGGGCGAGCCGGGGCCCUUGCCCGUCUUCCCGCAGUCGGCCGCCGACAGCAGCGCCGGCUCCCUGCCCCGCAGCUACGUCUACGACGUGCGCCUCGCCGCCCGGCACCGUCAACAGCGAGUUCCGCUUCCUCGGGCCGCUCUUCCCCUGCUUCCCCGCCGGGCUGCCGCCGGGCUCGGCCGAGCAGCGGAGCUCGCUCUGCUCGGGCCGGCCUCGGGCAAGAAGAAGGAGACUGGGCUGUGCAGGGCCGAUCUCCUUUCUCUGAAGACACAGCUCCCCGGCCAGCAGAAGAGAACACUUCUUUGGGUCAGAGUCCUUGGCUCACCCAGCAGUAACUGAGGAGAAAGAGAAGCGUCAUAGUCUAGCAUUCUCACAGGGAAAGGAGAGCAUCAAAAACACACCAGAGAGGUUCAAGAGUUCUCUGUUUUAGUGCAGGGACCCUCUCCUGUUUGUUAACUUGUGUUUUAUUCAGGAUGGAGCAGGAGGACUGUGUUGCAUGCUGGUUACACUGAGAUUUGCUGUCUUAUUGUCAUAGCUCUGUUUCUCUUGAAUCUUAAGGGAAAUAUGAAAAAGAAGCUGAUCUUCAAGAUUACUUUAUACUACAUCAGCUUUCUUGUCAAGUGAACUCUGUAAAUCUGAUUAGAUUUUCUGUAAUCUACUCAAUUCCAUGUCAUACAAAUAUUAGUCAAAAUGAAAUGAUGCUUGCAAGGGAAUUCUUUAGUAACAAUGAGGAUGUUCUACACUGGAAAUAACUGACAUUGGCACAGUGUAUAUUCAACCAGAUGUUUACAAAUUCUCCAAGCUGCAAAGUAUGCUGUUUGAGUACUGUGUUCUUGUGUUCAUGUUUGUUUUAUUUUAUCUUUUUCAUUCAUAAUGAGAAGCUGAAAUAAAUGGUUAUAGAGUUAUAGAGUAUUAUUGAGU
rnacentral:lncRNA from 1 species